rnacentral:rRNA from 1 species
ACGGGGUGCAGCAGGCGCGGAACCUUUACAAUGCACGCAAGUGCGAUAAGGGGAUUCUCAGUGCUCAUGCUUCGGUAUGGGCUUUUGCCAAGAGUAAAUAUCUUGGCGAAUAAGUGGUGGGCAAGACUGGUGCCAGCCGCCGCGGUAACACCAGCGCCACGAGUGGCAAUCGCGUUUAUUGGGCCUAAAGCGUUCGUAGCCGGAUAGAUCAGUCUUGGGUGAAAUCGAUGCGCUUAACAAAUCGGCGUGCUUGAGAUACUGUCUAUCUAGAGACCGGGAGGCGUAAGAGGUAUUCUGGAGGGAGCGGUAAAAUGCUAUAAUCUCCGGAGGACCACCUGUGGCGAAGGCGUCUUACGAGAACGGGUCUGACGGUGAGGAACGAAAGCUAGGGGAGCAAACCGGAUUAGAUACCCGAGUAGUCCUAGCCGUAAACGCUGUGAACUAGAUGUUGCACAUUCUUUAUGGUUGUGCAGUAUCGUAGGGAAGCUGUUAAGUUCACCGCCUGGGUAGUACGGUCGCAAGGCUGAAACUUAAAGGAAUUGGCGGGGGGGAGCACAGGUCGGACUGGCCAAG